rnacentral:lncRNA from 10 species
AGAUAGGGCCUUACUCUAACUCAGGCUGGAGUGCAGUGGCCAGAUUAUGGCUCACUGCGGCCUUGGCCUCAACCUCCCAGGUUCAAGUAAUCCUUCCACCUCAGCCUCCCGAGUAGCUGGGACUACAGGUGUGCCACCACCCCUGGCUAAUUUAAAAAUUUUUUUUGUAGACAUGGGGGCUUUAUAUGUUGUCCAGGCUGGUCUUGAACUCCUGAACUCAAGUGAUACUCCCGCCUUGGCCCCCCAAAAUCCUGGGAUUACAGAGGUGAACCACCGUGCUCAGCUUGGUGGACCAUUUUAAAGCAAAUCCCAAAUGUCAUUUAUCCUGUAUAUUCUUUUGAAGGACAAAAACAGUGUCUUGUUCUGUCUUCUACGUAGGCCUCAGCCUCCUGAGUAGCUGGGAUUACAGGCACCUGCCACCAUACCCAGCUAAUUUUGUAUUUUUAGUAGAGACGGAGUUUCACCAUGUUGGUCAGGCUGGUCUCGAACUUCUGACCUCAAGUUAUCCUCCCCACUCGACCUCCCAAAGUGCUGAGAAUACAGGCAUGAGCCACCACAUCCGGCCACUUUUUGUCGUAUUUUAGAGUGUACUCCUACUUAAAUAAAAAAAUCUUCCUGCCUCAGCCUCCCAAAAUGUUGGGAUUACAGGGAUGAGCCACUGCACCUGGCCUCUCUUUUUGUUGGAUCAUUUUCAUCAGCAUACAGGCUCAAAACUUCAUCCUCGGCCAGGCGUGAGCUACCACGCCCGGCCUAAAUGGCCUUUUUGGAGAUGCUU